CUUUGUACAGUAUGGACCUCAGCAGACUUUUGCUGGACACAAAACAUGUCACUCUCUGCUAUGUCUCCAGCUCCAGACCUGCCAUGUUUGCCACCAUGCUGACCAUGAUAACAAUGGACUCAGCCUCUGAGACUGCUACACCAGCCCUGGCUAAAUGCUUUCUCUUAUACUAGCUGCUGUGGUCAUGGUGUCUCCUCGCAGCAAGAGAACAGUGAGUAGACACAGAUAGCAAGCAUGACCAUGUCUUAGAGUCCCAUAAUGAAUGCACAAAGCACUUUCUGAGCUCUUGUUGAUCUGAUAUUCUGUAGAGCAUAAAGAAACAGUGGACAUGGAAAAAUGCAGGCAGAUACCCUGAUGGUCAGUCAGUGAGAGCCAAGAAAAUGAUACAGUGAGAGAACAUCUGUAUUCUGUGUUAGUAGGGAGAACAUCUGCAUUCUGUGUCAAUGGGGAUUGGAGUGAGUGACAUAAGACUGGAUACCCAGAGGAGAGUCUAAACCCAGGGAAUCUUAAGGGCAAAAGGUCUCCCCCAAAUGUCACCACAGCCUGCAGAUAUUGCUGUAGAUCAGAGGGGUGUAGGUACCUCUAUGGUCAGGCAGGUCACCAGGCUCUUGGAUUCCGUCUUUUCCAUCUUCUCCAACAUGAAAGGGAAGGGGAUGGC
rnacentral:lncRNA from 1 species